rnacentral:lncRNA from 10 species
CAGAGUUAACCAGUUAGAUGCAGUAGAAGAGAGAAUAAGUGAAUUAGAAGAUAGCUACACAGAAUGAAGCACAGAGAGAAAGAGAUGGAAAUAUACAAAGCUAGAGGGUAACACAUUGAGGCUACAGUCACAACACCUAACAUACUUCUGGAAGUUCUGUAAGAUUAGAGGAGAGAAAACAGAGCGAGAGAAAUGUUGCAGGGAUUUUUCCAAAAGUGAAAAUGUAUCCCAGCAUAUAUCUUUAGUAAUCACAAACUUCAGGCAUGAUAACUAAAAUCAAGUUAACAAAAAAUAAUACAGGACACCAAAGACCAGUAGAAAAUCUGAAAAGUAGCUAGAGGUAGAAGAUAGAGUAUGUUGAUAAGAAUUGCAUUCUAAAUACAACCUGAUUUUAACAGAAAAUAUGGAAGGAGGAAUUCAAAGGAAUCAUGUCUUCAGUGUGUUUCCAAAGAGUAGUAGACCUUCAUAAACAGAAAUUGAAAAUGAUAUUUUUCAGAUAUAAUAAAAAUUACUGAAAAUACAAAGUUGAACAUGCAAGGAGCAAUAAAAAUUAAUGACGAAAAAUAAGUGUGUAAUUCUAAAUAAAUGUUGACUGUAUAAAACAAUAUUGUCUUGUUGGAUUAAACGUAUAAUUGAUAAGAUAUAUGCAAAUAGCAAUAAAGAGACUGGAGAUAAAGGUGACAGGAAUAAAUUUAGUCAAACUGUGUUUUGGGCUUUUCUAUGUCUGUGAGGAGAAUUUGAAUGUCAUAAUCAAGGACCCUGUAAUUCUACACCCAGCUAUAUAAAUGC